AUUAUACCAGGUCUCUUGCCACCGCAUAACGAAAUAAUUCGCGUUACACUCUGCCAGUUAUAUGUGACAAGCACACACUACACAUUUGUAUGUAUUUACAGCAGGCACGACAAACGAAUGCUUCACUAAUCGCCAAUUACGGAAAACCUAAUUAGUUUUUCACACAUUUCAUAUUUGCUGCGAAUAAUUCGUUACGUAGCAGGCAAUUUUACGAACCAAGACUUUUUGCAUUUCACACUUGUAACGACAACACACUCAAGCAAUAACUGUUUUCUUGAAAGUAACGCAGAGGAAGUGAAAUUGGAUUGGAAAUAUACUUUUAUUAGAAAAAUAUUUGCAUUGCGAUUUUAUUGCGGGGCAAUGUCGUUGUUGCGUUUGACAGAAAAUACGUUAGUCAUGAGCGAAAGAAGAGGCAGCUUUUGAUUUUGUAGCGGCAGAAAACAUUUCUGAAGCAAUUUCAAGGAAUGGUGCCUAGUUAACAGUCCGUGGACGGAUAAAAAUCCGGGUCCGUUCAGAUUACUUAUUAUUUGCAAUUACUAUAAACAUUUGACACUUCAUUUCGUUUAUGUCGUCAUGUUCUAAUCUUUUCUUAUCAUUUUGGCAGUUAAGUUUACUUCAUUCUUCAAAAAAAAGUAUCGUAUUGUGUUUACUUAAAACUGAAUUUUAUGGUUAUUAAUCCACGUUUUCGUUUCAAACAUACUUAUUUUGACAUUAGUUGGCAAUAAAACGGCAAAUCAAGCUUUGCAGUGCAAGCGUAAGAAUUUUGAUUUGGAAAAUAGUUCACUAUAUUGACAUUAGACAUUCGUUUCUUUAGAAAUGUGUACUUUUAUUGACUUCAACAACACACUU